CAAAUACGAGAGGAGCGAGUGAGCGGAGCGAGUGUUGGACUUUGUCCCUUUUCCCCUGGACCAUUGCACAUCCUGCCCUGUACACGUGGGGUUUGUAAAUAAAUGGACAGAGUUCAUGUUCAUGGACAUCAGGAUAAAAACAGAAGAUGGAAACCUGCCAGAUUUGAGCUGCUCAUGUGUCGUCCCUGGGCAGGUCACAUGACUCUAUCCAACACACAAAGACACACAGACACACAAGAAAAGCCAGAGAAACAAAGACAAAUCCAAACAAUCCAUCAUACUGAGUUAAAGUGAUCACA